rnacentral:rRNA from 1 species
GACGAACGCUGACGGCGUGCUUAACACAUGCAAGUCGAACGGUGAAGCGCCUUCCUUUUUGGUGGGUGUGGAUGAGUGGCGAACGGGUGAGUAACACGUGAGUAACCUGCCCCCUUCUUCUGGAUAACCGCAUGAAAGUGUGGCUAAUACGGGAUAUUCUGGGUCUGUCGCAUGAUGGGUCUGGGAAAGAUAUUGUUUCGGUGGGGGAUGGGCUCGCGGCCUAUCAGCUUGUUGGUGGGGUGAUGGCCUACCAAGGCGGUGACGGGUAGCCGGCCUGAGAGGGUGGACGGUCACACUGGGACUGAGACACGGCCCAGACUCCUACGGGAGGCAGCAGUGGGGAAUAUUGCACAAUGGGCGCAAGCCUGAUGCAGCGACGCCGCGUGAGGGAUGGAGGCCUUCGGGUUGCGAACCUCUUUCGCCAGUGAAGCAGGCCUGCCUCGUUUGUGGGUGGGUUGACGGUAGCUGGAUAAGAAGCGCCGGCUAACUACGUG